GUGAGAAAAUUUGUUUAAUACUGUACACGAGUAAAGAUGACUGUGUUUAUGCAGGAAAAAAAAUAAAAUAAAAAAGUAAAACUAACUUUUUUUCAUCUCCUCCUCCUCAAAGGCCUGUUUUGGGUUAAAUAGUAAUUAGAAUGAGCAUUAACAGCCGUAAUUCACUUCCCAGAGCUGCUAUGCUAUCAACAUAUUCUGCUUCGACAGGUUUUUUAAGUGUUACCAGGGCCGGUCUCAUUGCAGCUCCUCAUAUAGUCAUAUGUCUGGCCAAGAUCAGAUGUGGAGUAUUGUUUACAUGCUUUAUCAGCCAGGAGAUUGUCCAAGACCUGUAACUAGAAGGAUAUUGUUUGGUUUGCAUAUCUUCUAUAUACCAUUGUUGGUCAACUGCCAACUCGAGCAUCUCCGGCGUAAUUUUUUGCUCGUUUAUUGAAGGAUGUCAUACCCCUUCAAUCAAUAUAUUAGAUUACAUGGCAGUGGAUCUUGUCUUAUUUCACUGAAGCGAAAUCCCCUCUUGCAACAUUGUAAUGAAUCCCUGGGAUAGUAGGCGGGUGCAGCUGGUCUUGGUUGGUAAAUAUAUUACUAGUAUUAGAUGACCCGCCCCUUAAACCUUGAUAGAGAGAGAUGCUCUGGACACUAAUUUCCUUGGCACCAUACUCCAUCACAUGAGAUCCUUCAGAGCUGUUAUCAUUGAGACACUAUACAAAUCGCCUAAGCAAGUGUCAUACUCAGGUGGAGGAGGCGGCUUCAUACCAGGACAAUAAGUUCCCCAACUACUUUCCUCUGCGUUUGAAGCUGUUGUUACAUAAAUGUUCAUAUUUUCAUUCAACAGGCCUUCGAAUA